rnacentral:lncRNA from 1 species
CUUUUUUUCUUUCUUUUUUUUUUUUUUUUUUGUCUUUUUGUCUUUUCUAGGGCCGCUCUCGCAGCAUAUGGAGGUUCCCAGGUGAGGGGUUGAAUCGGAGCUGUAGCUGCCGGCCUACACCACAGCCACAGCAACGCGGGAUCCGAGCUGAGUCUGCGACCUACACCACAGCUCACGGCCACGCCGGAUCCUUGACCCACUGAGCAAGUCCAGGGAUCGAACCCACAACCUCGUGGUUCCUAGUUGGAUUCGUUAACCACUGUGCCACGACGGGAACUCCUGAACUCUCUUUAGAGCAGAUUGCUUAACGACAAAAAACAGAUCUGAAUUCAGCCUAGUCAUCUUUAUGUUCUACUCACAUCACGAAUUAGUGCUGUGGAUAAACAACAGAAACACUCCCCCACCUCCAAAAACAAACAAACAGCCCUAGAUAUCUACAUCUGAGCACAUUUAAAUGCCCAUCAAACAGCCAUUGAAGGAAAUGGACAUUGUCCUGGAAAUAAAUCUUAAAGAUGUAUAAAUCCCUCCACCUGUGUGGGAGCCCAAAGCCCGGCUAGGCCACUUCCCGGCUCUGUGACCUGGUGCUUAAGCUAUCGGUGUCUCAUCCAGAAAAUGGGGAUAAUAAAAGCUCCCAUCUCACAGGGUCAUUGGGAGAUUAAUGAGGUAAUGUGUGCUCCAAAUAGGAACUAGCUCCCGGCAACUGCUCAAUAAAAAAGGGCGCCAUUGUGAUCACUGUUAAAUAAGCCAAUUGAGGAAAACACCAUGCAGUUCCCCAGGAGGCACAGAGGCCCCUGAUACCUCUGAAAAUGUGUACAAUAACUAAGGAAUCCAUAUAUAAGCUGUUCGUAUAUCAAGCUUUCUUUUGGCAGCCUUGCGAGUGCCAGGGCUUUUUGCACCUAGUAACACAUAGCACAUAUAAUAGGCUUUUCUCAAAUAAUUUAGCCAAGAAUAUAAAUGGGAAGAGAGUGUAGAUAUAAUUUUAUAGGAGAAGAGAGAAGAGAGGAUUCAUCUCCCGUCUGAAGGGAAUAGUCAACACUUGCUUAGGAGCAAUUAUUGCUAAUUGGGAAUCAAAGUCCAAUUUUGCCAAAUCUUGCAAAUUUUCAUCAGAAACUGGUACUUUGGAUUCCUACAUGCAGUCUUCUGUGUUGUUAAAUGGUGGCAACUCUUUUGAUUGUUUUUAAAUAAUCUGUGAGGGUCAAUUGAGACAUAUCCGUGAGACAAAUUUGGCUGAACUGACCAAUAGUUUGUGCUCUUUAAGUGUGAAGACAAACAAUGUCCCUAAACCAGUGUUCCCAGGCCACACCUUCUGAAAAAUUGACUCCCACUAAGGGGACUUGUGAAGGUGUGAAGUGCUUGUGCUCAGCCAUAACCACACAGGCGUGGGCUCCAGGCGGUCAAGGGCAAGUCCAGAGGGUGCCUGCCACAUAUCCACCCUACUUAGCCUUCAAGGGACAGAGAAAAAGUGAGGAUGGGAGCUUACAUCUUAGCCAAGAGGCAAGACAUAUUCAAGGGAAAUGAUAGCAACAUGAGGCUGUCUAGACCUGCUCAACUGUGUGGUGUCUAUUCAAGGCUCCAUAAGGAUUGACAGGAAGGGAGAUUUCAAGAUCCUGGGGACUCCAAGAAGACCACAAGGAGGGGGCCUCUUCAAUCAGACCACGAAGGUGGGGAGACUGGAGAAGAUAGAGGGGUAUGCUCUAAUAACAGAGCCAAAUAAGCAACGGAACAAUUGUCUCAGGUUCUUAUACCAUUUCUCCCAUCUUUGACAUUAGAAAAGACUGUAUGGUCCAGUGUGCUGUUUUUAGCAUUUGACUUGUUUUGAUCAGGGCAAUGUAUAAGUCACCUAACACAGUCGCUGCCAAUCACCAUAAAAUAACCCACAAAUCAGUGUAGCUGACCGUCAAUCUGCUUUCAAACUUCUUCUGAGCCCCUGAACACUAUGCUCUUGGUGGAUGGCAUUAAGCUAAAAGUGGUCUCUGCCCCUAAGAAGCCACAAUGCAGGGAGGGGGACACUGAUACAGAUAUAAGGAGCAGCCCCGGGGAUUAUAGCUGUGGAGCACCCUGUCCGGGCAGCUGAUGUGCAGAAGGCACCAGCUGGGCUGCAUCUGGGGCUGAGUGGGAGUCUGCCAGGCAAGGAAGUGGGAGCAGGGGUGUUCCAGGUAGCAGCAGCGAAACAGGCAAGGCGUAGAGUGGUGAAAACUAGUAGUUUAUAGCAGCAAAGAUACCCGCCCUCUUUUCCACCUCUUCAUUCUUGCUCUGUUUGUUAAUUAUGGCCUUCCUGAGUCUCAGCAAGAUAAGGAUCUCUAAAGAUCCCUUAAGAUGCUUAAAACUUGCUCUGCUUUUGCCAUUCAUUCACAUGAAAAGGCAGCAAAGAUGAAAAAAAUCACCAAGGGCCAACAUAAAGAGAAUGAUUUGAAGUGCCAAUGUUAUAUGCAGAUGUAUUUAACUGUGUCCCUACGGUCUUGGCACAAAGGAAGAUGAUGCACUUAAUAAAAUCAAUCUUGAUCUCAUCUAUUUUGGACUAGAAUGUUCUCUGCUUGACCUCCAGUACAAGAGGAGAUAUUCACAUCUGAAGAAUAGGAAAUUGCACAUCAAGACAAAGCUAGGGAUUGGUUUUGAGUCAAGCUUGGGAUUUUGUGUUUUGUCUGCAACUAUUAGUAUAAAAAGGAUUUUUUUUAAAAGUUAACAUUUUUUUUCUCUUUCCUCUGAAAGGGAAAACUUUAAAGAUAUAAAGUUAAAGAUUUCAACUCUACUCACAAUUACUAUUGUCAUGUUUCAAAACAUCAUGAAAAGGACACCCUAGGGUACCAGAAUGGCAAAUCUUAGCCUCUGGGCUCCAUUACCUGCUAUGUGUGGCAGUAUCCUCACCCUUUUAUUCUCUGGCUGGUUUCUGAUGGUUCUUUCAAUCCCCAGGAGGAGGAAAGGAAGAGACGACGAUAGCUGAUCUCUAAAGACAGUCCCUAGUUGACCAUGUCUCCCACCUCCCUUCUCCUUUGUGUGGGCUGUGCCUCAUAACCACAUGGAAGGUGGAACCUGCAUGACCUCUAAGCUUAGAAACCUUGCAGCAUCUGCCUUGAUCUCUUGGAACCCCCAGCUUCAGAAUCCAACCAUGAGAGAGUGAAAAGACCAUGCCACACAGAAAGACCUCGUGCAAGAACCAAGGCUCAAGAUCAACUGCCAGCCACAUGAGGAGCCAUCGUGGAUGUCUAGCACAGCCCAAGUUUUCAGAUGACUCCAACCUCAGCUGCCCUUUGAGAGCUGGAACAUGAGAGGCCCCAGCAAGAACACUCAGCUGAGCCCAUCAACGCACAAAACUGUGCCUUAUUACACAGCGAGACAUGGCCGGAAGACAAAUGCAGAGGAGAAAAGGAAAGCCUGAAAUUAAGAGGUUUUCGUUUGUUUGUUUUGUUUUUAUUUUUUAACCUGUAGCAACAAGGUAAAUGAGAUUGAAAUUUGCAGCCCAAUUCAGUUUUUUUUGAUUGAAUGUAGUUAUUCAUUAUCUCUUGCUCCCUUUCCCUAGUGAUCACCUAAAAGAUAAUCAAGGCAUAAAAGUAUGUGUUUCCCAAGAACAUAUACAGAAUUAACAAGCUCCAUUUCAUAUUUUUCCAUGUAUCUUUCUUAAUUAUCUUCAAGGUCAGUUUUUAGCUGGGAAAACGAAAAGCAAAAUCUUUGAAAACACAGCAAGGUCAUCCUCUCUUCACCAGCAUCCUCUGCGCUGAUAAAAUUAACCAACCACAUACACUGAUACAGGCACUGCCCCAGCAUUUUCCAUCUUUCCAUUUUAGCUAUGGAAUUGGCAUGACAUAAAAAUGUAAUGAUUUUCAUUUUCAUUGAGAUGGCAUUCAUUGUUACAUUUGAUGCGUGACAACGAAACUCUCGUGUGCAAUAUAUGACAGGCUAAUGAUUGGCAAUUAGUUGCCCCAUCAGUAUCCAUUCCUGUGCGUUCCUUGUCUGUGCCUUCUACUUUGUUUGAAACUUUAAUGUCUCUGCUAAAUAUCGCAUGUUCUGAGCCUUCCUUGAAAGUAGGGCACCCCUGUGACCCUGUUAGAGCCACUUAGAAUGAAGCCCAAGUCUGCUGGGGAGUUAUGAUGAAACUUUUGCUAUCCUGAUAAAGAGAGAGAGCUGUAGCCAGCAUCUCCACUUUCCAUCUCCCUCCUAGAAUAUGGCCAUGCUACCCGCAGGCACAGUAGCUGCCACAGCAAUCAUGAGGCAAUAAAUAGACGGAUAGGAUACACUGUAAACUAAUACCACACUAUAAAUUACCUACAUGCCAAUAAAAUUUAUUUUGUAAAAAAAUAAAUAAUAGUAAAACAAAAAAUAAGCAUAAAGAUGAAUGCUAACACCUCAGGAAGAGCAGGACAGAAAGCACAAAAGAAUCUGGAUUUCUGAUGGAAUUGUCAAGCAGCUGAAGAAGCCUAGAAAUUGCCCAUCUCUUCUAGAUUUGUCAUGUGAGAAAAAUAAACCCUGCUUGUUAAAACCACCACUGAUUCAGUUCUCCAUUACCUGCAGUCACAUGCAUUUCUUCUCAAUAGUGCUGUUAUCCAUUAAAACCUAGUAAGUCCUUGUAAGAUUGAGUUCAAUUACAGCUCCUCAAAUAUAAUUUUCCUUCAGACUAUACUACGCUCCACAUGGUUGAUGAUGAGGUACAUUUUUGCCCACUUCAACCACUCGUCUAGAUAAGUGACUUAUUCACACUGAGAACUGUGCUUUAAAUAGCAUUCUGCCAUCAAGAGCCAACUACUCAGACUGACAAUCCAAAAAAAAAAAAAAAAAAAGCAGCAGAUAAAAGAGCAUUAGACUUUCAAAAGCACAGUGGUUGAGAAAAGUAGCAGAGUGAUUUGUGGGAGGGUUUUUUUUUUUUUCCUUGCUUGUUGUGUAAUAACCAUAAUAUUCCUGUUUUUGGAAUAUACUUGCAGAAACAACUGUUGUGGUUAUCAAACAUCUCAGCUUUGCUUUAGCAUUUAAUCACCCACAAAACCCCAUUUAUUGUCUCUCUACUCCUCCAUGGUUAUCAGAAUCCCAUAAUUAAGGCAUAAUGAAAGUAAACAAUGUCACAGAAAACUAGAUGUCUUAACUACAAGGAGAGUAGUUAAGACAAGACAAAUGUUCCUAAAGAUAGCAGUAGAGCCAAGUGGAAUUGCUAAGGAGUUCUGUUUGUGUGUGUGUUGGUGGUGAUUAAACAGAAGAAGCAUGGUCUAAGUGAAGUAUUUAGGGAACAAACUGCCUGUUGAUGGAUAGUCAAUUAAUUUGGAGAAUUCAUAUUGAAAUCAAACAAGCACGCUAGUACAGCAAGACCUCUACACACACCCUGCAAAGCCCCCGAAAAGGAAGAUUGUUUAUGUAUGAAAAGGUAGAAAUAGGGAUGACCAGCAUCUUACCUUCCCUCUAAGAUCUAUACCUUAGUUACUUCCAAAAUGAUUGGGAAUGUAGGAGUUCCCAUCGUGGCUCAGUGGUUAACGAAUCCAACUAGGAACCAUGAGGUUGCGGGUUCGAUCCCUGGCCUUGCUCAGUGGGUUAAGGAUCUGGCGUUGCCGUGAGCUGUGGUGUAGGUCGCAGAUGCAGCUUGGAUCCCGAGUUGCUAUGGCUCUGGCAUAGGCCAGCGGCUAUAGCUCUGAUUCGACCCCUAGCCUGGGAACCUCCAUAUGCCACAGGUGCGGCUCUAGAAAAAGACAAAAAGACAAAAAAAAAAAAAAAAAAAAAGAUUGAGAAUGUGAAACAAGGCUUUUCAAAAUAAAAGAAAACCCUUUAUUUAAAAAGCCAAAACACAAACAUAACUAAAGGUAACUGGGAUGUGCCUGGCACUGCAGCUGGGCAUUAUAUUUAAAUGUGAGAUUCUCGGUAGCUAAGACAAAAAGGGAAAUCUUUUGCUUUACAUUGCUUCCAUUUUUAGAUGAAAGGAAGUACAUAAAUUUAGGAAGAGAGUAGUGUUUUCCUUGCAGGGAAUUUCUAUGGUAAAUUACCAUAUCAAGAUAAAUAUUAACAUUCACCAUCUCUCACUAACCCUUAUCUUUUUUCUCAUGGCAUACAACACUAAUUAUUGGUCUAUAUUUUUAUAAUACAUCUAUGUAGUUCAUGCUUAUCUUUAAUGAAUUCUUUAUUUUGUUUCUCCUGCCAAAUAAUACUGUAAACCCCUGAGGAGGGAGGGGUUAUUUCUGUUCUAUUUACCGUCAGAGUCUUGUCCAGUUUCUGACCCAUGUAAAAGUGUUCAAUCUGUAUUUAUUGAAUGAAUGAAUGGAUAAACUGUUUUGUCAAAGAUAAAACUCUGACACACAUCCAGAAAUCCUCCCCCUCAAACCCUAAGGUAGGCUGUAUACACAUGUGCAUGUCUGCCUAGCAUUGUUUGCAAUGACCAUGGCAACAACAAAAAUGAAAAAACCAAAAUGUCUACCAAUAGGAGAGUGGAUUAAUACAAUAGAAUAUGACUCAGAAAUUAAGAUAAAUUGGAGCAACAUCGAUCAACAAUGUAUGACAGAAGAAAUUCUGCAGAACAAUGUUUACAGGAUAACAUUUGUAGCACUAUUCACAAUAGCCAAGACAUGGAAACAACCUAAAUGUCCAUCAACAGAUGAACAGAUCACAAAGAUGUGGUACAUAUACACAAUGGAAUACUACUCAGCCAUAAAAAAGAAUGAAAUUAACAGAUGAACAGAUCACAAAGAUGUGGUACAUAUACACAACAGAAUACUACUCAGCCAUAAAAAAGAAUGAAAUCAUGCCAUUUGCGGCAAUGUGGAUAUAACUAGAGACUCUCAUACUGAGUGAAGUAAGUCAGAAAGAGAAAGACAAAUACCUUAUGAUAUCACUUAUAUGUGGAAUCUGAAAUAUGGCACAAAUGAACCUAUCUACAAAAGAGAAACAGACUCAUGGACAUGGAGAAGACUUGUGGUUGCCAUAGGGGAAGGUGAGGGAGUGGGAUUGCCUAGGAAUUUGGGGUUAGUAGAUGCAAACUAAUACAUUUAGAAUGGAUAAGCAAUGAGGUCCUACUACAAAACACAGGGAAUGGUAUCCAGUCUCUCAGGAUAGACCGUAAGACUGGGUCACUACGCUGUACAGCAGAAAUUGACUUAACACUGUAAAUCAACUAUACCCA